rnacentral:lncRNA from 1 species
CUUUCAAAAGAUAUUCAAUGAAGCACAAAGUUUAAUACCACUUUACAUUUAGUAUUCUUUCUCUCAUCUUUAGUUGUGAAUUUACAUGAUUAAGUUCUAUAUGAUCUCUCCCUCUGAAAUUUUCUUUCUCCCCCUUAAUUAAUCAUUCCAUUUGAGAGUUUUAGAAUUUGAAGAUAAUGUUCAAUAAAAUUGUCAAUCUCGAAAAUAUAUUCUAUUUUCAUAAGACUCAAGGUUUGAGAUAAGACAACCUUUAUAGAACUCAUCUCAAGGUAUAAAUUUAUUAUAUAAUUAAAGCAAGUCUUGCAAUAUAAGGAAGUUCAUCAAAAUCAAUCCAUAAAAUUCAAGGUAUGCAUCAAAUUAAGGUAACUUUAGGAUAAGAUACUGAAUAUCUAAAGCUCCCCCUUAAAAGAUGCAUUCUUCUUUAAUUAUUCUUAUCUUUUGUUGAAUUUCAGAUUUUAAUGAUAAACGUGAAUAAACUGAAACUUUAUGAUAUCAAGAAUGUAGAGUGAUCUAAAAUUAUUCAAAAUUUAUAGCAAUCACUCUUUUUUAAUCUUUUAAGAACAAGUUAUGCUUCCUCUUAAUCUUUGAGAAAAUGUACUGAAAUAUUAAUCAGAAAAUGAUUCAUUUGAAGCUCAAAUUCUUUCAAAAGCAUUUACAUUUUCUUUCUUUUAAGAAUCAUUUGAGUGAGCUGAAAUAUUUCUAGACUUAAGAUCAUUCACUCUUUUAAUAAUAUA